rnacentral:lncRNA from 1 species
CUUAUUUAUACACAUGUAUGAAUAUAAGUGAACACGUAAAAUGUAGUUAGGUUAAUUGGCACGUGUAUAUAAUAUGACACUGUACAGACAUUUCAUUUUGAGCAGAAUGAAACUAAUUUUCUUCUUCCCUAACUUUCAUAUCGUAUCAGAGCAAGUCAAUUUCACCAGAUCCAUUUUCGAUUUCUACAGGAAUUUCUAAAAAUCUCAUAAAUUCUUUGUUUUUUUCUAUUGAAUAUGGUCUUGACUGAGGAUUCCGCUUCCAGUGAAUCUGCUGCUUUUGUUCCUCCUCUUAUGGUAAAAAUUGAUCAUCUUUAUCCUUACUAUCUCCAUGCAUCAGACUCGCCUGGUAUGGCUUUAGUAUUUUUUGCUUUUGACGGCACUAGAUAUGGAUCAUGGAGGAAAUCUGUUUUAGUCUUUUUAUCUGCUGAGAACGGACUUGGUUCCAACGAUGGGACCUAAUUAAAAUCAAAGGGACAUUAUGAAUUUUUCAAUCUAUGAAAGAGAUGUAAUGAUUUGGUAUUUGCUUGGCUAUUGAAUUCUCUAAUCAAAGAAAUUAGAUGUUGUGUAAUUCACUAUAAAUCUGCACAUGAUUUGUGGAAACAGCUUGAGAAAAGAUAUAAACAAUCGCACCUAGCACAAUUAUUUGAACUACAAAAACAAAUAAUGAAAAUUGUACAAGGAUUAAACAAUAUCGCGACAUAUUUCAAUAACAUGAAAGCUAUCUGGGAUAAAACUAAUCUACUCGAUGCUAGGGCAGUAUGUAACUAUGUUGAUUGUAAGUAUGGAAUUGUGGAGAAAAACAGUACAUUUGAGGAAAGACAAAAACUAGUGCAGUUUUUUAUGGGGCUCAAUGAAAUAUAUAUUGCUUUUAAAGAUAACAUAAUAAUGAUGAAUCCCUCACUAGACGUUGAUCGAACAUACUUUCUGUUACUACAAGAGAAGAGGCGAAUGAGUAUACAACCUACGGGGAAUUUACCUACAAAGUCUUGUUCUUUCUCUGUUUCUAGACAAUCAUUCACCCUAGGGCAAGAAAAUCAUAGGUUAAAUCUGCAGCAAGGGGCACCUGACAAUACCUCAAAGCCAUACACCUAUCAGGACUACAAGAGAAACAAUUCUAGUUGCAAGUAUUGCAAAAGGCUAGGACAUACUAUAGAAAAAUAUUUCAAACUCUAUGAUUAUCCCACAAAUUUUCAACAAGGAGGUUUUAAGAACAACAAAUCAAGGUAGAAUACACAGUCAAUAUUCUAUGAUUUAGCACGUAGUAAUGCAAUAAGUACUCAAGAAGAUCUACUCAGUCUCCAAGAACAAAUGUUACUGUUGAAUAACCAGAAGAAAAUUUCUCAUUUGAUGGAGAUGCUACACCAGGUUAAAUCGGACAACAAGGCACAUCUAAUUCUGAAACAAAUGUGGCAGUUAACUGUGCUUGUAUUACUUCCUUUACUCUUAACUACUCCUAAAAAAAUUAUCUGUUAUUUUUGGAUACUUGACUCUGAGGCUUUGGAAUACAUAAUAUUUGAUAAGUCCAUUUUAUUCAAUAUUUAACCCUUACAACAGUCUAUUAUUGUUAACCUACAUAACUUUUUUAGGAUUAAAGUCACUCAUACGGGUCAAUCUUGUAUUCAUCCUGAAUUAACUCUAAAUAGAAUCCUUUUAGUUCCUAGUUUCAAAUUCAACCUAUUAUCAGUUUAGAAAGUGCUCACAAUUUAACAGUUUGCUUAUCUUCUUUGCGACUUCUUCUUUGGCUCUUUUCUUGAGGAGGCCUCCGGAUCCUGGUAGAGUGAAGGAUGUGCUCUAUCUGAUGCAAACUUUUCACCAUAUAUAUGUUAAUCAUAUGCACACAAAUAAGAUAAACUUAUUAUCUAUAAAUAAUUGACAUCCGUGUGUUUGCAAUUUAUUGUCUAGUUCUGAAAUUUCAUUUAGCAAUCUACGACAUGUAAGACUGGGGCAUUUGCCAAAUUCCAGUAUGAAACACAUUUCUACAUUGCCACAGAAUGCUUUUACUGUUGAUUCUUUUUCCUUAUUCUAUUUGUCCCUUAGCCACGCAACAUAAGCUACUAUUUCCCAACAGUACUACUUCUGCCUUACAUAUUUUUUAACUUCUACAGAUUGAUACUUGGGGACCUUAAAUAGCCACCUCUGAUGGUUUUAAGUAUUUUUUUACUAUAGUUGGUUAUUUUAGUAGGAGUAUUUGGACCUAUCUUUUGAGCAUUAAAUAAAUUGCUUUUAUUGUUCUCAAAUCUUUUAUUGAUAUGGUUGAAAGGCAAUUUGAUACCAAAACUAAAGUUAUUAGAUUUGAUAAUACCUUCGAGAUGGGGAGUGGUUUUACUGCUGCCACCUAUUUUCAAUCCAAAGGUAUCCUUCACCAAACUAGUUGUGUGGCCACCCCUCAACAAAAUGGUACUGUAGAAAGGAAACAAAAAUACUUGCUUGAAACCUGUAGAGCUUGCUAUUUAAUCUAAAGUUCCUACUAUAUACGGGGGUGAGUGUCUUUUGACAGCUAUUUUCCUUAUAAAUAGAUAUCCCACCGAAUUGCUUCAUUGCGAAACACCAUAUGAGGUUCUUUUUGGCAAAUCUCCAGAUUAUAAUUUUCUUGAAUAUUUUGGUUGCAUAUGGUUUGCAUCUACUCUAUCCCAACACAUAGGAAAACUUAAUCCUUAGGCUGAUGCUUGUGUCUUUCUUGGUUAACCCUAUGGAAAGAAAGGUUAUAAGCUAUUGAACUUGCAAACUAACCAUAUCAUUAUUUUUAGAAAUAUUGUUUUCUAUAAAUUUAUUUUUCCCUUCUCUAUUCUACCUUCUGUUUCUCCUCCACUAUUUCCAGAUUCCCCUAUUGCACCUUUUUCCUCCUAUCAUCUCUCUAUACCUUGUUCAUCUCCUACUUCUGCCCCUAUUCUUAGUUCUCUACAUGUUGCUGAUUCAUCUCUCAGUUCUUCCUCUUCUCCUCUCCUUCCUUCUAAUCCUUCCUCUCCUCUUCCUGUAUCCAGGGCAUCCUCUACCCCAUCAUCUUCUGGUCUUCCACCACUAUCAUUUCUCCUCUUCCUAUGCCACCUAUUCAUCAUUCACCUUCCCCUAUUCCUUCUAAAAACCCCUUUGGGCGGGUUCUUAAGAGAACAUAAGACGCCUGCCAACCUUUCAUAUUUUAUAUGUGGUGUUGUCCAUCUCAUAUUUGUCUCUACCCCAUAUUUUUUUCACCUAUAGCUCCUUAUGUUCUUUCCUUCUCUACCCUUUCUUCUUCCAAUCAACAAUUUCUUAAUAAAAUCUCCCAUAUUCAGGAACCUAGAUUAUUGUCGCAGGUUGUUACCUAUCUUGGCUCGCAAGAAGCCAUGGCUAAGUAACUAGAUGCUUUAUUGGCCAAUAAUACUUGGGAAGCAGUAUCUCUACCACCUAAGAGAAAGGCUCAACCUUGUAAAUUGAUUUACAAAGUGAAACUUAAAUCUGAUGGUAGUGUACGUUGAUGACAUCCCUUUCACUAGCAAUAAUGAGCAAGAAUUGAACGAAUUGAAGCAUUUUCUAAAUGCUGAAUUUAAAAUAAAAGAUUUGGGGCACUUUUUUUCUGGAUAUGGAGAUCUUGCGCCUGGUUUGGUCAUUAGCUAACACAAAUUUUCCCUUGAGUUGCUCAAUAUAUUUUCUUGUCUGUACCUUUUUCCAGUUAAUUAACUUUUGGAUCCAAAUCAUAAGUUGUUUGCUGGGGUUUGCCCUCCUCUUUCUAAUCCUUCUCUUUAUCGCCGGCUUCUUGGUAUGCUCAAUUUCUUGACUCACACUAUGCAAAAUCUUUCCUUUGUUGUUCAAUACCUUUAUCAAUUUAUGCAAGAUCCUUGUUCUGCCUAUAUGGAUAAUGUCAUGCAUUGCCUUCGCUAUUCUCAAGGACCCCAGUCUUGGACUUUUCAUGACCUCUUCCCCUUCUUUUGAUCUUCUUACUUUGUUGUGACUUCGAUUGGGGCACUUAUCAUGAUUCUCGUCGCUCCAUCGGUGGUUUCUUUAUCAGCUUAGGUGGUUGUGCCAUUUCUUGGAAAUCCAAUAAACAACCUUCCGUUUCUUUGUCAUCUCCCGAGGCAUAGCAUAGAACAAUACGCCGAUUGCAGUGUUAACCUAGUUGUCUCGCCUCCUUACAGAUCUCAUGUACCGCUCAAUUUGCCUAUUCCUCUUCAUUCUGAUAUGUAGGCAGUGAUUUACAUCUCCAAAUACCCUGUAUUUUAUGAAUAGACGAAACACGUCGAACUUGUUUGCCAUUUUUGUCCUUCAGCAGUUUCAAUCUGGCCUCAUUUCUCUCUGUUUUCUUCCCACUCUUUCUUAGUGUUCUUUACUAAACCUCUUUAUGGGCUUUCUCAUCGUGAGCUUAUGAGUAAGUUGGGGGUUCAUUCUCCCCUCUCCAAUUUGUAGGGGGUAUUGACAAUAGUGGUAUUUUGUUCAGAGAAGGUUAUGGCGGCUAUAAUUAUCGAAGCUAUCAGAUGAUAACAAAUGAGAGAAAUCAACAUACAAGGAUAUCUCAUUAAACAAUAGCAGGGACACGUGGAAUGAUCAAAGCCUUUGUUCAUUAAGUGAUGUGUUUUGUUCUCAACCGUAGGAUCUGUAUCUAGAAGCUUCUCGUAUAAGAACUCCAUAUAGAUUAUUUAUACACACACGUGGGAAUAUAAGUGAACACGUGAUGGGCAAUUAGGUUAGUUGAUGUGUGUAUAUAAUAAGACAUUGUCUAGACAUUCAUUUUGAGCAGAAUGAGACUAAUUUUCUUCUCCAAUUAAUUUUCUUCUUUCCUAAGUUUUACAAUAUUGUUAAUGUAAAAUUCACAAGUUAAAUUAACUCAUGUAGUUUGAUUAGGCCCAGUAAAAUGGAUUCAUUCAUGUAAUAUCCAAACAUCUUCUACAAAAUUAAUUAUUUCUUUGUUUUCUUCUUUUUUUUUAGAACAAAGUUUUGUCCUUGUUUCUCCUCUUUUUCCAUUACACUCUUUCUUGUUCUUCUUAUUCCACAUCGCUUUCUCUUUCAAUUACAGGAUAAUACAUCAAAGUACGUAAUGCAUAUACAUAUUGUUUGACAAAAAAAAUAUUAAGCCUUUUAGUUAAAUCAAUUAAUGAUUUGAAGAAGGGUGAAUCUUAAUUAAGAAUAAUAAAAUCUAGACCAAAUGUUAAAUGAAGUGAGCAAGAUGAACGACAUUAACUAGUGUACUAGAGCUGAUUAAUUGCUCAUGAAGACAUUAACACAACAACAUAAAUGUAGAUAAAGAUAAUGAGCAUGACCAAAGGAAUCUACCACCCAAUGAUUAUGAGAUUUCGGAUGGCUCUUUUCUGACAGCAACGAUGAAAGAGAAAGGAAUAAAGAGGGUUGAGAAUUAUUUGGAUAUUGUGAGUAUAGAAUCAAGAACAUAUAUUUAAAUAAUGUCAUUGUCGAACAAAAUAAAUUUUGUAUAUUUUCUCAGGUCAACCUUUUACCAAGUGUUUUUCUCGUAAAGUGAAUAUCCCUUUUUUUCUUUAUCUCGUCAUAUUAUAAGGGAUAUUUGCAGAAAAUCCUAAAAAGUACAAAAUAAGGAAUAUUUAAAGGAAUAUUCCUUGUGUCCAUAGCUGAACCUAUGCUACUGUUAUUUCUUCAUCUUAGAAAGCUAUCUUUGGCAUCUACCUCGAGAGCAGCCUUCAUCCAUCACACCGUGGUCGACAACAUCCGUGAUCUGGCUUAUCCACUAUCUCCAAGUUGAAAAAUUUGACCAAUACUGUUAGUUCAUCCACUUGUUGAGGUCGUGGUCCUGCACGCCCUAAAUGAGCGGACCUGAUUUGCCUCCGUUUUGGUGGAAUUUGGUUGUUUUGAAUAAGUCAGGUUGAUCGAGGUGGAGAGAACGUCACAACUAGGGAAUCCAUGAUUGGUGUGGCUACCAUAGGAUGACGUUACAGCCACACGCAUCAUCAUUAUGCAUCUUUCCGAGACAACAUCUAUGUGCUUUCCGCUUCAAUUUUAGUGCCAUUGACAAUCCUUUGCUUCGAUUUUCAUGCCACCUAACCUUAUAAAUAUAUGGGGUUUCAUUUUUUCGAAGUUUUUCCCAUCUUGUUCCUUGCAUGAACUCCAUUCUUUGAUCUUUUCUAGCUAGUUUCUGCCUUUGGUUUUGCUUUUUUGAUUCCAUUUCUCUCCUCCUUACCUAGUUGUUAUCUUCCUAUUUGGGUUUGAUAAUACAUAUUUCAUUAUCAAAAACAUGUCAUAAACUCUUCGAAUUCAUGAUGAAGUUUUCAAUACCACUCCGUUAUUGGUGGCUCCUCCUUCUGGUGGUGAGGUAUUUAUGGCUGAAGAGGAUGAGAAUUUUCCUACCACUGAGGAGGUAGUUCCCAAAAAUCCUUUGUCCAGAAAUAAUUUUCCCAAAGAGCCCGUUCCCUCUUAGGUUAUCUUUGAGACUGGUCCGUCUCAUAUAGCUGAGCUUCCAUCCACAUAUCGUAUCCUUCUUCACAUCGAGAUAGUUCCUACUGGUGGUGAUAUCAUGGAGGUCCAUCGACCUAGGUAUUGUGCUUUAUACGUCUACCUGUUAUUGAUCGGUUAUACUCUUUUUAUUUUUCUGCUAGCGAAAGAAUUUUUUCGAUUUUAUCACGUUUGCCCGACACAACUCUUUCCUUAUUUGUAUAAAGCUUUUCUGAUGCUGAUGAAUUACACAGAAUUGGCUAAUUUUAACGUUGGUGUUCGUCACUUACUGCACUUAUUAUCGCCAAGUUUUUAUAGGGGUGCAAUGAUACACCUACAGCAUUGCGGGACUAGAGGGCUGAUGGUCGAAAAGACGACAGGACGUCAAAAAUUCUAGCAUAGGUACUUUUCUAUCAAGAUGGAGCACUUGGUGGCAGAUCCGACUGGGUUCCUUAAGCAGUGGAACCAUAAACCUAAGUGUUUGUCAUAUGCGCGUUAUUUAUUUUUUUGGUCUUUUCAUUUAGUCUCCUUCACAGUUUCUGUUUUUCAGCUGAAAGGCGUGCACAUUCCCCUAUCCUCAACAUUGAAGAUUGGGUGGAUUGCAUACUGCCCCACAUGGUGGGGAUUCGUGAUUGGGCGGUCUUCUACAAGAGCUUCAGGCUGAAGGUCCCGUCUAGUAAGUUUUACUUUUACUUAAGCUUUUUGUUAUUUGCCAAUGCUCGUUGAUAUGACCUUCUUUUGGUGCGAGGUCGAUGGGUUUCCAAGAAUAAAGCUCCAGUUCUGGCCUUUCGUCGGGCUAUUGCAUCGGCAUAGAUGCAAUUUACUUUGGGUGAGUCCAUCUACAAAGGUCGUACUCAACUUCCAUCAACGAGGGAUUACCCAUUUGAAGAAGGNNNNNNNNNNNNNNNNNNNNNNNNNNNNNNNNNNNNNNNNNNNNNNNNNNNNNNNNNNNNNNNNNNNNNNNNNNNNNNNNNNNNNNNNNNNNNNNNNNNNNNNNNNNNNNNNNNNNNNNNNNNNNNNNNNNNNNNNNNNNNNNNNNNNNNNNNNNNNNNNNNNNNNNNNNNNNNNNNNNNNNNNNNNNNNNNNNNNNNNNNNNNNNNNNNNNNNNNNNNNNNNNNNNNNNNNNNNNNNNNNNNNNNNNNNNNNNNNNNNNNNNNNNNNNNNNNNNNNNNNNNNNNNNNNNNNNNNNNNNNNNNNNNNNNNNNNNNNNNNNNNNNNNNNNNNNNNNNNNNNNNNNAGUUAUAGUGUUGCUGUACGGGAUGAGAUCUCUUUUCGGCUUAUCUACAACCUUGUAGACGAGUCAGCUAAUGGAAAAGUCACCAUCAAGGAAGAGUCAAAUAAUGGAGCUUAGGAAGGUCGUCGUCACUAGUAUUGAACCGAGGAAAGUUACUACUCGGGGAGCGGCGCCUGCACUUGUGCCAAACACAUGGGCCAUUUUUAAUGCAGAUGCUAUUAUGGCAGGGAGGGCUUCUAGGACCGNNNNNNNNNNNNNNNNNNNNNNNNNNNNNNNNNNNNNNNNNNNNNNNNNNNNNNNNNNNNNNNNNNNNNNNNNNNNNNNNNNNNNNNNNNNNNNNNNNNNNNNNNNNNNNNNNNNNNNNNNNNNNNNNNNNNNNNNNNNNNNNNNNNNNNNNNAGUUAUAGUGUUGCUGUACGGGAUGAGAUCUCUUUUCGGCUUAUCUACAACCUUGUAGACGAGUCAGCUAAUGGAAAAGUCACCAUCAAGGAAGAGUCAAAUAAUGGAGCUUAGGAAGGUCGUCGUCACUAGUAUUGAACCGAGGAAAGUUACUACUCGGGGAGCGGCGCCUGCACUUGUGCCAAACACAUGGGCCAUUUUUAAUGCAGAUGCUAUUAUGGCAGGGAGGUCUUCUAGGACCGAGGGGGUACAUAUAGUAGGGGAGGUUGUUUAGACCGCAGAAGGUGGUGCGUCAUCGGAGGCCGGAGGAGAUGGAGCGGUACUUGCAGGGGACAAUAUUUCAGGCUCAAACAUUGAUCCUAAAGAGGUGCGGGCCUACUUGGAGAGGAACACUCGCGUGAAGUGAGUAUGGAGAGUCCUUCCCGUGGCUUAUGACCUUUUGGCUAACUCUAAGCGCGCGGUGCCAUCCUUUGCCCUCUUACGCGUGGCUUUUGAGAAUACGGUGCUACAGACGAUGAGUGAUACAGAUCUAUCACUGAGUAUUUAUGGCAUGUCUUUGAUAGUAAGUGCUUUUUAAUGUUAAGAUUUGUUUCGCUUACAUAAUCUGCUUAUACUAACUUCUUUCUUUUGCAUGCCAGACUCUUAUCAUGGGGAUCGAGCGUGACCAGUGGGAGGAACGAAGGACGACCAUUUUUAAGAAGAUGACCUCCAAGUACAAAGAAUACCAUACCAAGCACCAAACAUUGGCUGACGUCUUUAACAAAGAUAAUGAGUUUCAGUUGUUUUGUGAUGGGCUCAAACAGAACGAAGAGGAGUAGGUAAGGAGAGUUGAGGAGCUGAAGGAGCAGGAUGAUGAACUAAUGAAAGCCAUAGGUUGAGUAGUGGGCUUGAGGUGGCUCUUAAGGCCAAGGAGGAUGACCUCGAAGUGAGCAAGGGGGUGAUGUCCGAGACUGCCGACCUUCAAGCACGGGUGCGUUCCUUAACUGCUGAGUUUGGGCUGAGGGAAACGAAGGCUGUCGAUCUGAGGGGGCGAGUUGAGCGGCCUUAGAUGAUGCCCUCCGUGUUUGUAGGUUUGAGAGGGAUAAUGAAGUGAAGAAGUUGGCGCUCAAGUUGGCGAGGUUAGAAGAGCAGAUCCAUGAUCUGGAGGCGGAGUUGUCCAAAUUGGAUGAGAAGGUUGUUGCUUUGAAGGCUGAGAAAGUGUGACGGUAGUGGCAUCCAUCUAUGCUUAUACUUUUGUCGACCCGGUCGUGCCGCGAGAGUUGUAUGAGAUAUGGGUUCAUGCCGAGGCUUAGCUUGAAGUGUACAAGUCCCUGAAGGCCAAUGGGAGGGUUUUAGAGGUAGAACUCUAGGAUGUCCGUGUUAAAGCAUAUGCGGCCCACGAAGUUUGUGGUUAUUCCCCUAGUACACCUGGCGGGGAUGAUGUUGAUGAUGAUGCGCGCAAGCUCACCUCUAAUUCUUAGUAUAAUGAGUACGCCGAUGGGGAUGAUGUGGCAUAAAGACGUUGUACUUAUUUUUGUUUUGUUCUGCUAUUUUUGUGAGGGUGUCUUUAGCCCCUUCGUAAAAGGUAUUGUAAUAUAACGGUUGUAGUGGAAUGAUUACUUUUUUCUAUGUAUUUCCGGGCUGUAGUCAUCUUUUUGUUAAUUAUGCGGUGAAGUCCCUGACUUUUUCAGCCGCUUGUGUGUAGUUUUUUGGCAUAGUCGAUAGUAGAUCUUAAAGUAAUUCGAGUGUGGUCGAAUGUAAAAUAAUUCAAGCAAGGUCAAACAUAAAAUAAUUCGAGCAAGAUCAAAUGUAAAAUAAUUCGAGUGAGGUGGAAUGUGUGAUGAUUCAAGCGAGGUGGAAUGUGUUACGAUUCGAGCAAGGUCGAAUAUAAAAUAAUUCAAGCAAGAUCGAAUGUAAAAUAAUUCGAGCGAGGUACAAUGUAAAAUAAUUCAAGUGAGGUCGACUGUAAAGUGAUUCGAGCGAGGUUGAAUGUAAAGUGAUUUGAUCGAGGUCAAAUGUAAAGUGGUUCGAUCGAGGUCAAAUUUGAAAUAACUCGAGCGAGGUCCAAUGUAAAAUAAAUUGAGCAAGCUCGAAUGUAAAGUGAUUUGAAUGAGGUCAAAAUUUGGAGUGUGAAGAGACUUCGUGGAGAGUAAAAAUGUUGCUUUAUUUCAUUCAUUGGAGAAUUUCUUGGUGGAGAGUUAAAAAUGCUGCUUUAUUUCAUUCAUUGUAGACUAUCUUGGUAGAGAGUAAAAAAUAUUGCUUUAUUUCAUUCAUUGUAGACUAUAUUGGUAGAGAGUAAAAAAUGCUUCUUUAUUUCAUUCUUUAGAGAAUACUACAAGUGUUCUUUGUUUCAGACAUAUAUUGGAUAAGUUUACAUGUAUCUAUUCCCUUCAUCGUAAGGCUUGGAGAAGUAGUUGGCAGGUGGGGCGAUGAAUUUUACUUGAACUUCGAGACGUCCCUUUUGUCGCCUCAUUAAAAACCUCUUUGAGAAACCCAAUUGGGACAAAACUUGGAUAAGGGAAAAAGAGUACGACGUGGAGGCAUAUGUUUUCAAAAGUUAAUAGAAUUUGAGAUGGGCGACGUUCCAAUUGUUUUGUAGUAGCUUCCUUCCAUAGUUUCUAGUUGAAAAGAUCCUUUGUUUGCUACUAUCGUGACCUUAUAUGGCCCGUCCCAAUUGGUUCCUAGUUUGUCUUCUUUCGAAUCUUUGUUCGUUUGCUAGCCUUGAGUACAUAGUCACCGACAUUGAGUGGCCGUACGUUGGAUUUUUUGUUGUAGUACCGUUUUGCUUGUUUCUUUUUGGCUACCAUUCUUAUGUAAGCCAUGUCUCUUCGCUCCUCUGCUUUGUCGAGGUCCUAUUUUCUAUUUUCAUCAUUGCCCGGCCCACUUUAAUUGGAGUAUCUCAACUGAGUUCAUUGAUCUCAACCGCUAUCAUUUUGUCAGUCCCGUAGACUAGUGAGUAUGGUGUUUCUCCCGUGCUUGUUUUCGGUGUGGUUGUCCACGGUACCUUUUAGAGUAAUUCCGGCCAUAGUCCCUUGGCAUGUUCAAGCUUUUUCUUCAAGAUAUUCUGUAUUAUUUAGUUGGAGGAUUCGGCCUGACCAUUAUCGGCACAGUGGUAUGGCAUUAAGAGUAUUCGCUUGAUGUGCCAUUUUUCGAAAAGCUCGGCGAUCUUCUUUCCAAUGAAUUGGGGUUCAUUGUCACAGCUGAUUAUUUGGGGAUGGAAAAGCAACAUAUGGUGUUUCUCCAUACGAAUAUGAUAACUUUGUGUUCGCGUAUUUGGGUGACACACCUGCUUCUACCCAUUGUGAGAAGUAGUCAAUUAAAACUAAAAAAAUGUACAUUACCUUGCUUUACUGGUAGAGUUUUGAUGAUGUCCAUCCUCCAUUUGAUGAAUGUCUAUGGUGAUGUAACAGAGGUGCUCGCUUGCUUGGUGUAUCAUAGGGGCAUAUUUCUAGCACUGUUCGUAUUUAUUGACAUAAUCAUCGGCCUCUUUCUUCAUUGUGGCUAAUAAUAUUCUGCUUGAAUGAGGUAUCUAACGAGGACUCAAUUGCCGGUAUGGGCAUCACAAUGGCCUUAGUGUACUUCCUUGAGUACGUGCCUUGUUUGAUUCGGCCCUAGGCAUUUCUCUAAGGGGCCUCCAAACGUUCUUUUGUAUAGCUCAUGAUUUAUGAGGUUGUACCUAGCUACCUGCAUUUCAAGCCUUUUGGCUUCCUUUUUUCUACUUGGAGUAGUCCUUCCUUUUUUAUAGAGUGUACUUCGAGUAGAAAUUUAUGAAUUUCCACCUGGUACUUCUGUAGCCUCUGCUUUUUGAUUUGAAAAGUCCGUGUGACUUGGUUGACAAUGAGUUACGAGUCGCAUCUAAGAACGACUAGGCAUGCUCCGUAUUUGAGAGCUAGUUUCAAUUAUACAAUAAUGGACUCAUACUCGGCCUCAUUGUUAGUUAUAUUAGAGCACCGAAUGGACUGGCAAAUGACUUCUCCUAUCUGGACCGCGAGUACGAGUCCUAGUCCAGAUCCUGACGCGUUAGAUGCGCCAUCGGUGUAUAAGACCCAUAGGUUGGGUAGGUCAGACGAGGUCGAGAAAUUUCCUUUUCGACCUCAAUUAUUAUUUUGGCACUAAAAUUGGCGACGAAUUCGGCAAGAACCUGCUAUUUUAUUGUCGUUCACAAUUGAUAUGUUAUAUCAUGUUCACUCAAUUCUAUGGCCUAUCUUGCUAGUCUUCCCAAUAGUUCGGGUUUAUGUACGAUACCUUUCAAGGGAAAAGUCGUUACUACCAAUGUGGGGUGGCAUAGAAAAUAGGGUCUAAGCUUUCGUGAAGCUACAACCAAGGCCAAGGCCAAUUUCUCAAGGUGAGGGUACCUCGUUUAUGCGUCAAUGAGAGUUUUGAUAAUGUAAUAGAUUGGAGAUAUCGUGCCUUUAUUUUCACAGAUCAAUAUUGCGCUUAUCGUGACUUCUGACACGACCAGGUAUAUAAAGAGGUGCUCACCAGGUUCUGCUUUGGUGAGUAGCGAGGGAGAUGAUAAGUACGCCUUUAGCUCUCUUAAGGCCUCGAUGCAUUCUGUAUUCCAUUAGAUCAUGUUGUCCUUUUUGAGCUCGUUAGAGAAUUUGUGGCAUAUGUCCGAUGAUCGCAAGAUGAACCUUGAUAAUGCAGUUGUACGACCUGUCAAUUUUUGCACUUGUUUCUUGCUAGUUAACACUUCGAAUAUUCCCUCAAUGGCCUUGAUUUGGUCGAGAUUGACUUCGAUGCCUCUUUGUGAUACAAAGAACCUAAGGAACUUGCCUGAAGUUAUGCCAAAGGCACAUUUUUUGAGGUUCAGUUUCAUAUCGUACUGCCUCACUAUUUCAAAUGCUUUUUUAGGUGGUCGAUGUGAUUUUCCUUCCUUUCGAUUUGACCAACAUGCCUUUUGUGUAAACCUCCAUAUUUUUGUCGAGCUGGUUCUUGAACAUUUUGAUCACCACUCUUUGACAAGUCACCCAUUCGUUUUUCAAGCCAAAAGACAUGACUCGAUAACAAUAUGUUCCUUGAUGGGUGAUGAAAGUAGUCUUCUCUUGGUCCUCUUUCUCCAUGAGGAUUUGGUUUUAGCCUGAGUAGGCAUCCAAGAAACUCAAAAACUCGUGUCAUGUCAUUGUGUCAAUGAGCUGAUUAAUAUGAGGCAGAGGAAAGGAGUCUUUUGGGUAUGCGUAGUUUAGGUUCGUGAAAUCCAAGCAUAUGCGCCAUUUCCUGUUUUUCUUUUUGACCAUGACUACAUUAGCGACCCAUUGAGGAUAUUUUUUUUCUCGGAUGGAGCCGUUAGCGAGGAGUUUAUCCACUUUCUCGCUGACGGUCUCAUUGAUUGUAGUGUUAAAUUUUCUUCUCGCUUGUCUUAAGGGGGGUAGAAUGGAUCAACGUUCAAUCUGUGUGUUACGACGUCUUUCAGAAUACCUAGCAUAUCUAUGUGGGGAAAAAGCAAACAGAUCGGCAUUAUUGGUUAAAAUUUCAUGAAAUUUACAUGGCUUAGAGAGCUUAUGGCCUAUAUAGGCCUUUUUGUUGCUGUGGUUGUUCUCCAGUUGGACAGGAUUGAGAUCUUAUAUACUUAAUCCUGCGGACUCCGCGAUGUCGGGGUCCUUAAUAACGUACUGCUAAUCGUCUGGAUCGGACCCCGACUUUGACAAUUGUUAUGCUUCUAAGCUUGCUCCUUUUAGUAGUUGAGUGAAUUUGCGAUCUUGGGUGAUGUGGUAGUAUUCUUGGUCCGUUCAUUGUUUGGUCUGAGAUGCUGAAUAUUCCUCACGGGGUAGGGAAUUUGAUUACUUGGUACAGACUGGAUGGGAUAGCUCUCAUGAAGUGUAUCCACGGUCGUCCUAUGAUUGCGUUAUAAGUUGUGUCAUGGUUUAUAACAUGGAAUGCUGUUUCUAAGGAGAUUCCUCCUACUAGGACUGGCAGUGGUAUUUAUCCUGAGUUUCAUUCGACUACAUUGUUAAAACCUGUUAGUGUUAAGCAGAGUGGUACUAUCAUGUAUUUGAGUCACAUUUGUGCGAGCACUCGAGGAUGGAUAGUACACGCGUCACUUCCAUUGUUUACCAUUAUUCUUUUAAUACCAAGAUCUGAAAUAUGUAAAGUAAUGACAAAAGCAUUGGAGUGAGGAAAAAUUAAACUGGGGUCCGACUUAUCGAAGAUGAUACUUUCUUUGAGGUCGUCAUAUUGAUCGUGGGUGAUUGGACACUUCAGCUUGUUCGUGGUGGUAAAUUUUAUGUGGUUGAAUGGUAUGGGCAGGAGAGGGCGGCUUUGGAUGGCCUUGAUAUUGUUCUCGUCUGCAGCCAAAGCUGGAUCGUCCUAGGUGACUCAUUAACUCCUUCAGGUGCCCUUGGUUCAGCAUGCUAACUACUUCUUGCCGUAUGGCUAUGCAGUCCUCGCUUUUGUGACCCCACUCCUGGUGAAAUUCACAAAAGACGUUCAAUUUUCGGGUACUAGGGUCGGGCUUCAUUUUUUGCGGUCACUUUACCUUCGUACAAAGCUUCUCUUGUGCGUACACUACUUCUGAAGGAGAAAUACAAAAAUUGUAAGCGGAUAAGAGUGGGGCAUACCUCUUUCAUUUUGCUGAGUUCCUGUAUACGACCCUAACAACCGUUCCAUGUGUUGAGGGGAUGGUGGAACGACGAUUCUAACAUAGGGCUGAUGCCUAUCUCGGUUAAGACGUGGUCCUGACUAAUCUCUUCGACUAUCAUUAUGACGGUCUUUCCUUGGCUCUAUUUGGAUUGACGUUAAAUGUUGGUUUGGACCGUUAAGGUUGUCAUCGUCUGCUCUCACCUUAGCACAGUAGGCAUUGAGGGUAUUUCAUGAGCCUGCUUAACAACUUCCUAGUUUCCCUUGACCCACUUCUGUUCAACCCAUUUUGGAAGGUUGCUCCGCCAUCCCUUCCGAUACGUUUGGUAAGCUCAUUCUCACCCUGUUAAACCGAGCGAGGAAGUCCUUGAGUCCCUCCCUUGGCGUUUUCCUAACGACGAAUAUAUCUUUCACCCUAGCCUCCGCUUUAUUAGCUCUAGAAUGGGUAUUGACGAACUUAUCAACCAUUUAUUCAAACGUUGUUACAGACCAUGCUGGUAGUUGUGAGUACCAAGUUAAGUCCCCUUCGGUUAGGGUUUUGCCAAAUGUUUUUAGUAGCACUGAUGGUACUUGCUCCUUUGAUAGAUUGUUGCCCUUUACUGUUGUGACAUGGCGAAUGAUGUUGUCUUCUGGGUCGAUGGUACUAUCAUAUAUCUUUAAAUAUGGUGGCAUUUUGAAGGUAUUAGGUAUGGCAUGCGGGGUUGCCUCCUCGCUAUAAUCGGCUGACGUCUCGUUUUGGUAGCAUUUUUGGGGCGCCCCGGUAUCUUAUCGAUCCUUUCUUUAUGUUCUCUCAUCUGGUCGCAGAGUGCCUUAUUUUCAUUUUUCAUUUCUUUUAUUUUCUUUAAGAUAGUUGCCAGUGCGUACGUCUUGUUGACUAAUAAAUCAAGUAUACCACACCAUGUAUCAUCUCCUUGUCAUUGCAUGCAUCAACAAUGGUGUAAGUGUUACCUGUUGGGGGAGCUGGUUGCUCAUUGGUGGUCGUUAUGACAUCUAUCGGCGCGACAUUUUGGUUCUCUCUUCGAACGAGUUUGUCGAUUAUGUCACUGAGGGUACUUGUCAGCCACUCCUCCAAUAAUUUGUUAGCUGCUCAUGGUGCUUCCUCAACUGUGUAUGUGGAAGCUCCCCUUUCGCAUGAAGCGGUUACACUUUUAUGAGGAGGAGGUGAAUCACUCUGCCUGAGCGUAACACUUGGUGUCACAUUCUCAUUAUCUUCUCUCCUAUCCUCGUUGAUGGUGUUCAAAAUGUUCGUAGUAACACCUGCUAUUGCUUUCUAUCUAGCAUCUACAUUUUCUGCCACCAUUAAUUUAUGCAAAACGAGGAAAAGAUGGUUUUCCUUUUUUAUUCAAAACUAAUAUUUAACUAAAAAGUUCCCACAGACGACGCCAAAUUGUUUGACCAAAAAUUGU